rnacentral:rRNA from 1 species
GAUGAACGCUGGCGGCGUGCCUAAUACAUGCAAGUCGAGCGAACAGACGAGGAGCUUGCUCCUCUGAUGUUAGCGGCGGACGGGUGAGUAACACGUGGAUAACCUACCUAUAAGACUGGGAUAACUUCGGGAAACCGGAGCUAAUACCGGAUAACAUUUUGAACCGCAUGGUUCAACAGUGAAAGACGGUCUUGCUGUCCCUUAUAGAUGGAUCCGCGCCGCAUUAGCUAGUUGGUAAGGUAACGGCUUACCAAGGCAACGAUGCGUAGCCGACCUGAGAGGGUGAUCGGCCACACUGGAACUGAGACACGGUCCAGACUCCUACGGGAGGCAGCAGUAGGGAAUCUUCCGCAAUGGGCGAAAGCCUGACGGAGCAACGCCGCGUGAGUGAAGAAGGUCUUCGGAUCGUAAAACUCUGUUAUUAGGGAAGAACAAAUGUGUAAGUAACUAUGCACGUCUUGACGGUACCUAAUCAGAAAGCCACGGCUAACUACGUG